rnacentral:rRNA from 1 species
GAUAAACGCUGGCGGCGUGCCUAAUACAUGCAAGUCGAGCGAACGGACGAGAAGCUUGCUUCUCUGAUGUUAGCGGCGGACGGGUGAGUAACACGUGGAUAACCUACCUAUAAGACUGGGAUAACUUCGGGAAACCGGAGCUAAUACCGGAUAAUAUUUUGAACCGCAUGGUUCAAAAGUGAAAGACGGUCUUGCUGUCACUUAUAGAUGGAUCCGCGCUGCAUUAGCUAGUUGGUAAGGUAACGGCUUACCAAGGCAACGAUGCAUAGCCGACCUGAGAGGGUGAUCGGCCACACUGGAACUGAGACACGGUCCAGACUCCUACGGGAGGCAGCAGUAGGGAAUCUUCCGCAAUGGGCGAAAGCCUGACGGAGCAACGCCGCGUGAGUGAUGAAGGUCUUCGGAUCGUAAAACUCUGUUAUUAGGGAAGAACAUAUGUGUAAGUAACUGUGCACAUCUUGACGGUACCUAAUCAGAAAGCCACGGCUAACUACGUGCCAGCAGCCGCGGUAAUACGUAGGUGGCAAGCGUUAUCGGGAAUAUUGGGCGUAAAGCGCGCGUAGCGGUUUUUUAGUCUGAUGUGAAAGCCCACGGCUCAACCGUGGAGGGUCAUUGGAAACUGGAAAACUUGAGUGCAGAAGAGGAAAGUGGAAUUCCAUGUGUAGCGGUGAAAUGCGCAGAGAUAUGGAGGAACACCAGUGGCGAAGGCGACUUUCUGGUCUGUAACUGACGCUGAUGUGCGAAAGCGUGGGGAUCAAACAGGAUUAGAUACCCUGGUAGUCCACGCCGUAAACGAUGAGUGCUAAGUGUUAGGGGGUUUCCGCCCCUUAGUGCUGCAGCUAACGCAUUAAGCACUCCGCCUGGGGAGUACGACCGCAAGGUUGAAACUCAAAGGAAUUGACGGGGACCCGCACAAGCGGUGGAGCAUGUGGUUUAAUUCGAAGCAACGCGAAGAACCUUACCAAAUCUUGACAUCCUUUGACAACUCUAGAGAUAGAGCCUUCCCCUUCGGGGGACAAAGUGACAGGUGGUGCAUGGUUGUCGUCAGCUCGUGUCGUGAGAUGUUGGGUUAAGUCCGCAACGAGCGCAACCCUUAAGCUUAGUUGCCAUCAUUAAGUUGGGCACUCUAAGUUGACUGCCGGUGACAAACCGGAGGAAGGUGGGGAUGACGUCAAAUCAUCAUGCCCCUUAUGAUUUGGGCUACACACGUGCUACAAUGGACAAUACAGAGGGCAGCGAAACCGCGAGGUCAAGCAAAUCCCAUAAAGUUGUUCUCAGUUCGGAUUGUAGUCUGCAACUCGACUACAUGAAGCUGGAAUCGCUAGUAAUCGUAGAUCAGCAUGCUACGGUGAAUACGUUCCCGGGUCU